rnacentral:rRNA from 1 species
AGUCGAGGGGUAUAUGUCUUCGGAUAUAGAGACCGGCGCACGGGUGCGUAACGCGUAUGCAAUCUACCUUUUACAGAGGGAUAGCCCAGAGAAAUUUGGAUUAAUACCUCAUAGCAUAGCAGUCUCGCAUGAGAUCACUAUUAAAGUCACAACGGUAAAAGAUGAGCAUGCGUCCCAUUAGCUAGUUGGUAAGGUAACGGCUUACCAAGGCUACGAUGGGUAGGGGUCCUGAGAGGGAGAUCCCCCACACUGGUACUGAGACACGGACCAGACUCCUACGGGAGGCAGCAGUGAGGAAUAUUGGACAAUGGGCGCAAGCCUGAUCCAGCCAUGCCGCGUGCAGGAUGACGGUCCUAUGGAUUGUAAACUGCUUUUGUACGAGAAGAAACACCCCGACGUGUCGGGACUUGACGGUAUCGUAAGAAUAAGGAUCGGCUAACUCCGUGCCAGCAGCCGCGGUAAUACGGAGGAUCCAAGCGUUAUCCGGAAUCAUUGGGUUUAAAGGGUCCGUAGGCGGUUUAGUAAGUCAGUGGUGAAAGCCCAUCGCUCAACGGUGGAACGGCCAUUGAUACUGCUAAACUUGAAUUAUUAGGAAGUAACUAGAAUAUGUAGUGUAGCGGUGAAAUGCUUAGAGAUUACAUGGAAAUACCAUUGCGAAGGCAGGUUACUACUAAUGGAUUGACGCUGAUGG